CCCCUCGUCGUUCAAUGGAUAGGACGCAAGCUUGCGGAGCUUGUAAUGCGGGUUCGAUUCCUGCCGGGGGGACCA
rnacentral:tRNA from 3 species